rnacentral:rRNA from 1 species
UAGGGAAUCUUCCGCAAUGGACGCAAGUCUGACGGAGCAACGCCGCGUGAGUGAAGAAGGAUUUCGGUUCGUAAAACUCUGUUGUUAGAGAAGAACAGCGCAUAGAGUAACUGUUAUGCGUGUGACGGUAUCUAACCAGAAAGCCACGGCUAACUACGUGCCAGCAGCCGCGGUAAUACGUAGGUGGCAAGCGUUGUCCGGAUUUAUUGGGCGUAAAGCGAGCGCAGGCGGUCAAUUAAGUCUGUUGUGAAAGCCCCCGGCUCAACCGGGGAGGGUCAUUGGAAACUGGUGGACUUGAGUGCAGAAGAGGAGAGUGGAAUUCAAUGGGAAGCGGUGAAAUGCGUAGAUAUAUGGAGGAACACCAGGGGCGAAGGCGACUCUCGGGUCUGUAACUGACGCUGAGGCUCGAAAGCGGGGGUAGCAAACAGG